GAUGAACGCUAGCGGCAGGCCUAACACAUGCAAGUCGAGGGGCAGCACGGUGUAGCAAUACACUGGUGGCGACCGGCGCACGGGUGCGUAACGCGUAUGCAACCUACCCAUAACAGGGGGAUAACACUGAGAAAUUGGUACUAAUACCCCAUAACAUCAGGACCGGCAUCGGUUCUGGUUGAAAACUCCGGUGGUUAUGGAUGGGCAUGCGUUGUAUUAGCUGGUUGGUGAGGUAACGGCUCACCAAGGC
rnacentral:rRNA from 1 species